UGUUCUUGUUUGUCAUGUGAUGGCCGAUUGUUGAGUCAGGGGUUGUCAAAAGUUUUCCUUAUUUUUUCCAUGAAAGUUACCGAUGAAUUCAUCACUUCAAGUUUAUUUCUGUGCAACUUGUUUGAAGGAACGCGAAAGGCAACUGAAACUACAAGUAGGCGAAGUAGCCUACAAUCAAUUCUUUCAUUAUAAAUCGUCGUUCUGCUGAAUGCUUCUAUUAAUACAGCUGCUGGAGUAAUCUAGUGUCCAUCCCCACUUGAUUCAUUUCGUGCCAGCUAGUGAAUGGCGUGAAGAAUUCGAAUGAAAAGUUUAGCAUUUAGCUGCUGCGUGCUGUCAGCAAGCAAGCAAUCCAAUUGAUGUCCACCAGGUGGCGCAAGUGUCUUCAAGGCCCAAAUUCGGCCAUUUUGAUUUCUAAAGCAGCAGAAGUCGGUCGUGACGUUUCGCAUGAUGAAAAUGUUCAAUACCAAUUUUUCAAAUCAUCUAACUCGGACUUGAGUGCCUGUUCAUUUUGCCGAAAUGUCGUACCUCGUGUGUCUUGCUGCCUGUACCCGUACGUCUCGUCCCAUGCAAAAGCAAACGUCUGCUGUUGGUUACCUUGUUGCAGCCUGAUGGUGUAAGAUGUGAUGAAGACUAAUUGAACUGUUGUAUGCAGCGUUGGUUCCUGUGUUAUCCAGAAGUAGCUGUGCUGGCAGUUUCCUAAAGUAGCCUGAAGCCUGAAGUUGCCAGUGAUAUCCCGGUUGCUGACUUUAAAUAUUUUUCUCUGUUCUCAUUUGUGUUAUUUGCUUUGCAAGUGGUAUCUCAUGUUGCUGACUUUAAAUAUUUUUAUCCGUUUUUA
rnacentral:misc_RNA from 1 species